rnacentral:misc_RNA from 1 species
AAAUAACUUGGCACACUAUCCCCCAAAUGACCAUCAAAAAUGGCAAAUAUUCCAAGCUCGUGAUUCUGAUCAUAUCUGUACUCCGCAACAAGAUAGUCUUCCAUAUCAUGACCCGAUUUCCCUUCCACCAAGUGGAACCCAUGUCUCACUCGGUUACUUGAUGACUUGCUCCGUCCUUUGCCGGUCUCCGCUGAUGAUGAACUAAGACAAGAGGCAUUCUUUAUGAUAUUGAGCAGCUCCGACCGCUUCUUCGAGCCGGUGGCGACGGAGGAGGAACAACAGAUUGGGGAGAAUUGCUGCUUCUCCAUCUUCCACCACCAUCAAACACUCAGUCUCUCUCUCGAUCUCGAGCGAUCGA